rnacentral:lncRNA from 1 species
CAGGGGUAUUCCGGUAAAAAAAAGAUCAAUCCUUUUGCAUAGAGGAUCGUAACAUUGGUGUCAUGGUCUUCAAUCGCAUUAUUAUAUGAUAUUUGUUUGAUGGCAAUAUGGCAAUACCUUCUGUGUAUUGGUGCCAUUGUUCGAAACUUGCAGGUUCAUACGUGGCAGGUAUCACGAUGAUGUGGUAUUUAGCAACUGAAAGU